rnacentral:sRNA from 1 species
UCUGGGUAUGGUGGCACAUGCCUGUAAUCCCAGUGACUCAGGAAGCUGAGGCAGGAGGAUUGCGAGUUCAAAGCCAGCCUCAGCAACUUAGCCAGGCUCUGAGGAACUCAGUGAGACCCUGUCUCAA